AGAGUGGGGCAGUUGCCAAGGAGAGGCUUCUAACUUUAUCCUUAAGUUAAAUUUCUACUCUU
rnacentral:tRNA from 1 species